rnacentral:rRNA from 1 species
GUUUGAUCCUGGCUCAGGAUGAACGCUGGCUGUGUGCCUAAUACAUGCAUGUCGAACGAAGUACUUGUACUUAGUGGCAAAUGGGUGAGUAACACGUACCUAACUUGCCUUUUAGAUUGGGACAACCACGGGAAACUGUGGCUAAUACCAAAUAUGUAUAAAAAACAUAUGUUUUUUAUAUGAAAGGAAGCGAUUGCUUUGCUAAAAGAUAGGGGUGCGCUACAUUAGCUUGUUGGUAGGGUAAAAGCCUACCAAGGCUAUGAUGUAUAGUGGGAUCGAGAGGUUGAACCACCACACUGGGAUUGAGAUACGGCCCAGACUCCUACGGGAGGCAGCAGUAGGGAAUAUUCCACAAUGAGCGAAAGCUUGAUGGAGCGACACAGCGUGUAGGAUGAAUGCCUUAGGGUUGUAAACUACUGUUAUAAGAGAAGAAUAGCUAAAAAAGGAAAUGUUUUUAGUCUGACGGUAUCUUAUCAGAAAGCAGUUGCAAACUAUGUGCCAGCAGCAGCGGUAAUACAUAGACUGCAAGCGUUAUCCGGAAUUAUUGGGCGUAAAGCAUUCGUAGGUUGUUUAUUAAGUUUGGUGUUAAAAACAAAAGCUCAACUUUUGUUUGCAUUAAAUACUAAUAGACUAGAGUUAUAAAGAGGUUAAUGGAACUCCAUAUGAAGCGGUGGAAUGCGUAGAUAUGUGGAAGAACACCAAUGGCGAAGGCAAUUAACUGGAUAUACACUGACACUGAGGGAUGAAAGCGUGGGGAGCAAACAGGAUUAGAUACCCUGGUAGUCCACGCUGUAAACGAUGUUUGUUAAUCGGUGGUGAAAUCACUGAUACAGCUAACGCAAUAAACAAACCGCCUGAGUAGUAUGCUCGCAAGAGUGAAACUUAAAGGAAUUGACGGGGAGCCGCACAAGCGGUGGAGCAUGUGGUUUAAUUCGAUGCUACGCGAAGCACCUUACCAACAUUUGACAUCUUUUGCAAAGGCAUAGAGAUAUGCUGGAGGAUAACAAAAAGACAGGUGGUGCAUGGCCGUCGUCAGCUCGUGCCGUGAGGUGUUGGGUUAAGUCCUAUAACGAGCGCAACCCUUUUCUUUAGUUACUAACAUUUAGUUGAGCACUCUAAAGAUACUGCCUAGGUAACUAGGAGGAAGGAGGGGAUGAGGUAGGUCAUCAUGCCUCUUACAUGUUGGGUUACACACGUGCUACAAUGGCAAAUACAAAGAGAAGCAAAAUCGUGAGGUGGAGCAAAUCUGUAAAAUUUGUCUCAGUUCGGAUUGGAGUCUGCAACUCGACUCCAUGAAGUAGGAAUCGCUAGUAAUCCUAGAUCAUCAAUGCUAGGGUGAAUACGUUCUCGGCUCUUGUACACACCGCCCGUCAAACCAUGGGAGUUGGUAAUACCCAAAGCUAGUUAGUUAACCAUUUAUUUGGAGGCAACUAUCUAAGGUAGGAUCAAUGACUGGGGUUAAGUCGUAACAAGGUAACC